AGUGAACGCUGGCGGUAGGCCUAACACAUGCAAGUCGAACGGCAGCACAGUAAGAGCUUGCUCUUACGGGUGGCGAGUGGCGGACGGGUGAGGAAUACAUCGGAAUCUACUUUUUCGUGGGGGAUAACGUAGGGAAACUUACGCUAAUACCGCAUACGACCUACGGGUGAAAGCAGGGGAUCUUCGGACCUUGCGCGAUUGAAUGAGCCGAUGUCGGAUUAGCUAGUUGGCGGGGUAAAGGCCCACCAAGGCGACGAUCCGUAGCUGGUCUGAGAGGAUGAUCAGCCACACUGGAACUGAGACACGGUCCAGACUCCUACGGGAGGCAGCAGUGGGGAAUAUUGGACAAUGGGCGCAAGCCUGAUCCAGCCAUACCGCGUGGGUGAAGAAGGCCUUCGAGUUGUAAAGCCCUUUUGUUGGGAAAGAAAAGCAGCAGGUUAAUAUCCCGCUGUUCUGACGGUACCCAAAGAAUAAGCACCGGCUAACUUCGUG
rnacentral:rRNA from 1 species